GUGGUGAGGAUCAAAUCCAGUGCCUAACCCAUGCUAGGCAAGCACACUACAACUGAGUUACAGUGACAGCCCAGAUUCUUGGAUUCAUUCCCAAGACCCACACCUUCCAGGAAGAAACAGAGACACAAGAUGGGUUAUGUAGAGAACUAAAACUCAACCCAGGAGCUGACAGGGACCAAAGAUCCCUGUCUGAGGAGUUAUGGUUAAACCGAAGAAGCAGCAACUGUUGCCAGCCCCAUGUUGGCAGUCAGGUUUAUCCAGCUCAGGGAGAAAAUCUUGGUAUGCCAAUUUUUAUACUGCCAACCUUUGCAGCAAAGCCCAAUAAAGAAACAUCAGUUUGCAGUUCACUGGCAAAAAUGAAGACCUCUAAAGAAACAGAAAGCUACACAAGAACCACACAAGAUUAAAACUCAUGGGACUCAAGCUCUACUUCCAGCUCCAGUCUUCAGAGCAGGAAAAAAUGCCCAGAGUAAUGGAGUUGACUGUCCAUGGACUGAGACGUCUUAAACUGUGAGCACCAAAAAACUUUUCCUCCUUUAAAAUUGUUCUUGUUGGGUCUUUUGGUCACAGCAGCAGAAAAGUGGACUAAAACACUUAGGGACUAGAAAUUAUGAGAAAUCUAAAAAAUAAAGGCAGAUAGAUUGGACUGAAGAAAAAAGAAAUACCAGAGUCAGCUUAAAACUAAGACAAAUUGGGAAUAAUUUUGAAGGAGCCUCAGGUAUAGACCCUGCACGUAUAGAGAUUAGAAGGGGAUCCAGGGCAUCAGAGUAAUUGUCAGGCAUUCUAGGAGCAUCCAAAUGGUCAGGCC